rnacentral:lncRNA from 1 species
UGAUGAGUGCAUAUUUAUGUCCACAUUUAGGCUUUAAAAUUAAAAUUUUUGAUAGAAUAUUUGUGCUUAAACGAUUGAUUUGUAGAGGAUAUGUGAUUAUUAGAUUUAGCGUGUUUGGAAAUAAAAAGGGCUUAAAAAGUGAUUUUAAUUGCAUAAAUUAUUCUUGGAUGUUCUAAUAUUUAUUUGUGCAACUGAAGUUAGAGUUUUAUUGGUCCAAAUUGUAAUUUAAAGCCCAAAAUAAGAUUUUAUUUGAUAAAUAAUGUACAGAUGGGCCAAACAGUCAGUUUUUACCCUUGCACCCCCAGAUUUCCCUACUUGCACCCCCAGUUUUAAACCAGGCCAACAACCAAGCCCAAACACUAAACCUUUUCACCCACACCCCUUAAUUUUCCUAUCCACACCCCUCCUAACUAAACACCACCAGAUUUUGCCACGUGGCAAUCCACCACUAAUAGAUCCAACCACUCAUAACAUGCCACCUAACUCCCCAUGCCACGUCAUCACCAUCUUCAACCUUUCUCCAGAAACCCUAAUCUGGUAAACCCUAGGCGCCGACCACUUCGUCUUCCUCGACGGCGUCACCAAGCCGUGCCGGCAGCCACCAUGGAAUCGCACCACCACGGUUUCGCUUCGAUCACCAUCGUGCAACCAUUCACGCAACCGCAACCACCAUGAGCAACCUCCGUCAAUCUCCACACGCAAANAUCGNCAAUUUCCAUGGCCGCCAUCGUCUCCUCCAGUCGUCUCGAGCAAGCCGCCGUGAAGACGCUGCCAGCAACUCGGACCUGCAACCAGAAUCUCGCAACCUCCAUGGACACCGUCGCACCUCGCAUCAGUCCAAAUCUCCGCAAUCAAUCCAGUUCAUNUUCAUCACCUGCAACCCAGAUCGCGGAUUCCAUCAUCUCACCGUCAUCACAAAUCGCGCAUCAUCAACAUCGUACAGUAACCAUNGCCAUCAAUGUCGCACCACCANGNUGCCGGUGACCUUCACCCAANAGUCUCNCCGUCACAAACAGCACAAUCUCAAUGCGCCACCAUCACCUGCAGAAACCCAAUUCGCACCAUGGUCGUUGCGACUCCACCAUCUUCGCACUUCUGCCGCGCCAUCUUGUUGCGUCUUGAAGAAAUCUUCUCGCACCACCACAAUCAAACCUGCAAUAUCAAAGCCCAGAACCAAAUUNAAGAACCGGAGAUCUCUCUUGCGUUCUCGCCAACGAAAGGGGCAGAACCAAUUUCGCACACNAAGGGGCAAGCCCCUUCCCCAAUGUGAAACCCUAAUUGGGAAGGAAGAGGGCUGCCACAUGGAAACAUCUUAUUGGUGCAUCAUCUUCAGUCAAAAUUGGUCAACCAAGACUUUUCUGGUCAAGGACUGGUCAACUAAGGAGUUNUGGUGCAAUUUUAGAGAAUUUUGAAGGGGCAAAAAUACAAAUAGAGGAAAUAUUAGGACAUUUGUGCAAUUUUGAAAAUUCAGAAAAGUUUAAAGAUAAAAUUCAGUUGUUGAAUUAAUUUAAUUGGGAAUAUUAACAGAAAAUAUCUUCCAAAUAAUGUUAUAAUUAUCUAAAUCUUUUAGUUAUUUGGAAGAUAUA